CUAUGUUAUUGGUUUAUAUAUUUAUUAUACUAUACUUUUUAUCAUUUUUUAGAGUGUACUGCUACUACUUAUAAAAAAUAUUAACUGUAAAAAAGGCUCACACAAGUUCUUAAGGGGGAAUUCCAGAAGAAGGAAUUAUUAUCAUAGGAUGACAGCUCCAUGCAUGCUAUUGCCCCUGAAGACCUUCCAGCGGGGACAAGAUGUGGAGGUGGUGAUGAUGAUCGUGACUUAGGGAAAACUGUGGAGAGAGUAAAACAGAGAUAAGAACAAAGUAAUGCAUCAACCUCUGUAUCAGUUCAACCAAAGAAAUACCACCAGGAGAGAUAAAGGGACUCAUUGCAGAGAACUGACUUACACAAUUGUGGGAACCAGUUGUGCAUUCUCUGUAAAGCUGUUGUUUUUGCUUCUGACACUGGAGCUUGAAGUCCACCUGACAGGCAGACAGAAAGGUAAGAGAGGUGUUUAGAGGGGUAAAUCAUGGGUAGGCAGGAGCUCACAGCAUGGGCUAAAAUCUCAUAAGUAUGGACUAAAACAGUAGCUCCUCUUGCCUGUGACAUUGGUC
rnacentral:lncRNA from 10 species